rnacentral:rRNA from 1 species
AGCAGCCGCGGUAAUUCCAGCUCCAAUAGCGUAUAUUAAAGUUGCUGCAGUUAAAAAGCUCGUAGUUGAAUUUCGGGACCAUCAUGUCGGUCGUGCCUCGGUACGUACUGGCAUUGUUGGUUUCUCCCUUCUGACGAACCAUGAUGUCAUUUAUUUGGUGUCAUGGGAAAUCAGGACUGUUACUUUGAAAAAAUUAGAGUGUUUAAAGCAGGCUCACGCUUGAAUACAUUAGCAUGGAAUAAUGAAAUAGGACGUUUGAUUCUAUUUUGUUGGUUUCUAGGAUCGACGUAAUGAUUAAUAGGGAUAGUUGGGGGCAUUAGUAUUCAAUUGUCAGAGGUGAAAUUCUUGGAUUUAUUGAAGACUAACUACUGCGAAAGCAUUUGCCAAGGAUGUUUUCAUUAAUCAAGAACGAAAGUUAGGGGAUCGAAGACGAUCAGAUACCGUCGUAGUCUUAACCAUAAACUAUGCCGACUAGGGAUCGGAUGAUGUAAUUUUUAAUGA